GCUCGAUUAGCUCAGCUGGUUAGAGCGUCGUACUAAUACGGUUCUUCUGUAUAAAGUAAUGCGAAGGUCAACAGUUCAAUCCUGUUAUUGAGCA